CAAACAGGUGCUGUGGUUAUACUCCACUUCCUUCCGCUCAGCAGAAGCUCAAAAGGCACUUUCCGAAAAGUGGAAGAUGUGCACACAAAUAAGGAAAACAGAUCAUAAACUUUGAAAAGCUAAGCGUAUGACUGCACUGAGGUCGGAAAGAAGAAUGAGAAGCAACCUGCAAAAGUCUGCCAGCUGUUUCAGGACAGCUAAACACCCCGUCUGCCAGGAGCUUGUCACCUCUAACUCUGCCCUUUACUUACUAAGCUCCACAUGUGUGCAGAACAGUCAGCAAGUGAGCUCAUAAUUUCCAACCACCUACACCAAGGAACUGAAACAAGAUGCAUCUAUAACACUUCCACGUGAUGAAAUGCAAACACGGAAG